rnacentral:rRNA from 1 species
CUCCUACGGGAGGCAGCAGUAGGGAAUCUUCGGCAAUGGGGGGAACCCUGACCGGGCAACGCCGCGUGAGUGAAGAAGGUUUUCGGAUCGUAAAGCUCUGUUGUAAGAGAAGAACGUUAGCGGGAGUGGAAAAUCCGCUUAGUGACGGUACCUUACCAGAAAGGGACGGCUAACUACGUGCCAGCAGCCGCGGUAAUACGUAGGUCCCGAGCGUUGUCCGGAUUUAUUGGGCGUAAAGCGAGCGCAGGCGGUUUGAUAAUUCAGAAGUAAAAGGCUGUGGCCCAACCAUAGUCAGUUUUUGAAAC